CUACCAGAUGUUUUUAUUUAUUUAUUUCUUGUCUAUGCUAAUAAAUAAUUUCACAAAGUUUCAUCUUGGCUAUCAUCUAAACACACUUUUUAUUACAACCAGCCCAUGCAAGUGUCUGUAAAUCACCAGAAUGUACUUUAUUUUGGUCUGUAAAUCAGCAGAAUGUAUUUUAUUUUGGUCUGUAUAUUAGCAGGAUGUACUUUAUUUUGAUCU